UGCCUUUCCUGUUUAGGCCCUUUUUCCCUUUCGGACCAUUGCCUAUGGGGUGAGGUAAUGAUCUGGUUUCGUUUCCCCAGUGUUCUCAGCCCCAUUUGUGGAAGAGUGUGUCCUCUGCUGUGUGGGGGCCGCCCCGUGGAAGUGGGCUGUUUCCGAGCUCUCCUGUCUGGCCGUCGGCCCCUCUCCCAGCACCUCACUCUCCUACUUACUGUGGCUGAUGCUGUGUUCGUGCCCCUUCGGCACAUCCUUUCGGCUUUUCCUUCCUCAGUUUUCUCUGCUCUUCUUGACCCUUUGCUUUUCCACAUGCAUUUUAAAAUCAGAUCGUCAAUUUGCACACAGUAGAAUCUUGAAAAUUUGUUGCCUUAUCAUACUUACACUUACUUUGGGAGAAUUCAUAUCUUCACUGACGUUGUGUGCAGCCUUGCUGGCCCUGUGUUGCUCUCAGGAUUGCUCCCCUCCCUCCCUGUUGGCCCGGAUCCCCUCCUUGUCCCCGAGCUCCGCCGCGCAGUGAAGGAGGAUGCCUGCUGUAUGGAACCGGGCACUCCUCGGGCCUUUCAGGUUAUCUUGCCGGCCGCAUCACUGAGAGGGAAGCCUCUCACUGGGGAUGUUUCUCCAACACUGUGGUCCCUAGUUGUGUCCUUGGCGGACAGCCUGUGACAGCCGCGGGAAAGCGGUCUGCCUCUCACUUUCUCGGGAUGCUCACUGGAGCAGCAAGAGUAACUUACGUUUUGUCUUUAAAAACAGAUAUGUUCAGUGUUCGAAUAUUUUAGGAAAUCGUAUCCUGAAAAGGAAGUGCCUCUGGAAGCUACGUCUGCUCUGCUGUGCACGUCCGAGUGGUGCAGCGAGGCCAGUAGACAGUGGGGUAAAGGUGGUGGUUUCUGAGCGGGGGCUGUCUGGGUGCUGCAGAUAGGUUCACUGCUCACCAUCCAAAUGAGAGUGGCUCACGAAGCCGCCUGCUUGACAGAUGCUACCCCACCACCAUGAGGCAGUGUGCCUUUGAGCGGACGGAGGGCCGCUGUGCUGAAAUUGCGGUCUGGACGGUGGAGUGAGAGUUGGCCGUGGUGCUGCGGGUGUGUGGUGCGCGCUCUGAGAUGCAGGAUGCUGCACUUCCUUCAUGUGGGAUGGAAAUCAGGAAGAUGCGAGCAGCGGCGGCUGCUGAAAGCUGCUCUGCGAUGGUUCCCUGGGAGGCGGAGGCCACGGGAGGAGCGCGCACAGCAUCCACGCCAGAGGGCAGGGACGCCCACUACGCCUUCGGACAGCCUUCUCGGCACAUUUCCUCAGAGAUCUUUACCUCUGCAAAAGAAACUGGUAUGUUUUAUGGACACAUUUUUAUGUAGAUCCAGUUUCUUGAAAGGUCGCAGCACCAAGAAGUGUUGCCCAGACAGGGAGUCUGGUGCGUAGUCUCCACUCUUCAGUCCCACGUGACCUCUGGUGCCAUUUCAACAUUACUCCAGGCAGGAAGGAAGUAUUUUCUGUUUUUUUCCUGAGAAUAAUUAACCUGAAAUAUUUCCUGUUCAGUUAGUUGUAGCUGUGGUGUGAUUGGGCUCGACCGUGCCGGGGUUCUGAGCUGAACUCCAGGACUGUGUGGAGCAGCUGUGCUUGAGCCCGCUGCUCCCCCUGCAGAGGACCACUGAGACCCUCCCUGGGAUAAACACGCAGGUGAAGCGGCCGUAAUGCUGCUCUGUCUACCAAGGCGACAAAGGACAUGUUGAAAGUACGCCUGCUCCCUUGUCAUCGGGAAUGGAGGAAGGGAGUCCUCAGAAAUUGCUGGUAGAAAUGUCACUCAGUACAGCCCUGUAGAGGUGGUUUUAUAGCAUGUCUUAAAAUAUCCAACUUAUCUAUCCUUUGAUGUAACAGUCCUCUCCGCACAUUAAAUUGACUCAUAUCCACACUCCCCGAAUGUUGGGGUGCCCCAGACUAUCUUAUCCACACCCACGUACCAAGUAACUUAACCUGGUCCCAUGGCUUCUGUGUCCAUAUAUGGAUAGUUGUGGCUCCCAAACUGAGUUCUCCAACUGUGCCCAUCUGCAGGCUCAGGGUUUUAUGUGGGAUGGCUCAUGAAGUAUCAUCACCUCUGCUUGAUGUCUGUUGGGCGUCUCACCCCCUCAAAGCUCCACAGCAAGUGCCUUCCUCCAUCCCCCAUCUCAGGAAAUGGAAAGUGCACAGCAUUGUCACCCUGGUCACCCUCUUCCUGUCAGACCCUGAGCACUACCCGCCAGCACGGCCACACUCUGACCCUUCUCAAAGAAAAGUCCAUUUUCUUGACCAGUGUGUUUUCCUUACCUCCUAAGAGGAGAGUCUCUCUGAGUUGCUGAGGGCGUGCGUGUUGGCAGCCCAGGACUUCUCCACAGGGAUAGGACAUCUGCCUGAGGUAGAGAAGGAGGGGCCGGGGAAGCCCAGGCUGCGGACAUUGAGCAGAAAAUGAUCUGACCCCUCCCUCAGAUCUCCCGCAAAGUGACCCUGCUCUCGUCCACACAAAACCUGCACACGGGUGUUUCAGCAGCUUUAUUCAAAAUCGCCAAAGCUUGGAAGCACCAAGGCGUCCUUCAGUGGGUGGAUGAACAAACUGUGGUCCAUCCAGACAGUGGAACAGUAUUCAGCACAAAAAAGAAAUGAGCUGUCAAGACAUGAAAGACAUGAAGGAACCUUAAAUGCACAUGACUAAGGGAAGACGCCAAUCUGAAAAGGCUACAUACUGUGUGAUUCCAACCAUAUGACAUUCUGGAAAAGGCAAAACUAUGGAGACGUAAAGAGAUCAGUGGUGGCCAGGGGUAGAAGGGGCGGGAGGAACAGGUGGAGCAGAGGAUUUUAGGACCUGAAAGUACUCUGCACGAUACUGUACUGGUGGACGCAUGUCAUUAAUUUGUCCAGACCCACAGACUGUACAACGCCCAGAGUGAACCUAAUGCAAACUAUGGACUCUGGGUGAUGAUGACAUGUUACUGUAGGCUCAUCAGUUGUGACAAAUGCACCAUCUGGUGGGGGUUGCUGAUAAUGGAGGAGGCUGUUCAAGAAUGGAGGGGGCAUAUGGGAAGUCUCUGUACCUUCCCCUCAAUUUUGCAGUGAAUCUAAAACUGCUCUAAAAAAAUAAAGUCUUUACAAAAAAAAUUUUUUUAAUUACUCAACUCUUGAGGUGCUUGGGGUGAGUGGACGAUUUGUAGAAGAAGGAGGGGCUGAGCUGUGCAUCUGGAUCGACAAGGGACAGAGGAGAAGCUGGUGCACAGACGCGGGCCUGGGGCAGAGCAGAUGGUGAGUGGGUGCUGCCUCAGGACUCACAGGGUUGCAGGCCGUCUCUGGACCGCUGCAGGCCGUGUGGUUGGGAGCAUGAGCCACGUUUCUUUUGCUGUCCAGGAGGCAGAGGACGUAGCUGACGCCUGCUUCCUUCUGGAGGCGCUAACAGUUAGGAAUCUGACUGCCUGACAGCUGGAGUUGGUUGAGUGAACAGUGCUGCAUUCCUAAUGGAAAAAGCCAGUUAAACCACUGUUUGGUGGUGGUUGUCUUAGUGAUGGAGCUGUGGGGAGCUUCACGCGCUUCCUCAGUUGGUGGCCACUGUACCUGAGGCUUCUGGAGGCUGGUUGUGGUUAUUGUUCUUUUUGAGACGCCGGGCUGGAGACCCGGAAUUGGCUUUGUCAAGGUUGGCUUGGAAGCUGCUGUGACCGUCAUUGGACGUAGAGUGAUAAAGCGUGGGGCGUCCACGUCAGAGCACACUGAGCUCCUUAAGUGAGGCAGAUCAGUGCGUCUCUGUCAACGACGGGCAGUGUGGAUACAGAUGGGGUGGAAGGGCACCUGGAAGGCGAGAGCUUGUGUCCCCACCCGUACUUUCACCCUUUUCCUCCACUCGUGUCCGCCUGCGAGCGCGCAGCUCACACCAGUGCUUCAGUCAGAAUCGCGCUUACUCUCUGAGGGUCUGUGACGCUCCCACACCUUUAGGAGAGUGAGUUUCCCUGUGUGCGCGGGCUCCCCUCCUGUCAGCUUCUGUCACGUCGCCUCCAUUGUUUCCUCGUGGCCCUGCAUGUGCCGUAGGCGAAACGCCUGUGUGCUCGUGCUCUCUCCUUUUAGAAGACAGGGCUGUGUCGUCAUGACCAUCACACUGUCCCAGUGCUGGCACAGUGGCUGGCACAGAGGAGGCAGCAAGUGAGUUCAGGCACCUGCACCUGAGUCCCCCCUGGGUCUGAGGAAGGGGCUGAACCAAGUAGACAGUGAGGCACAUGUUGGGGAUGACCGUCUAAACCCACUUCCAGCAGUGUAGCCAUGAGAAUCUCCCAGAAUUCUCUUCCACUUGGAUGCAGCCCCCAUCGUUACCAAGACCCGCUGAGUGGUUGCCGUGGGCAGGGCUGCUGAGAGCAGGAUGUGAUCUCCAGUCUCCAAACAGCCCUCUAAGGCGGGGCUCUGACAUCACAGGAGGAGCCUGAGGCUCGGAUCGCAGGGCUGUGUAGCGGGACGAGCUGAGAUCAGAGCCCAGACGGGGUUCUAGAGCUUCCUGCGGUCUCGUCCCCCAUGCUGUCUUGUCUUCCCGCGGUACUCAGGUCCUGACAGGUUUUGAGCAGUUGCACCAGAGUUGUGGAGUCACCGGGUCUGUGGGUGUCUGAUUCACUGCGUGCAGCAGAAGCUGCGCUGGGAGCACCAGCCAGUCACUGGUCAUUCAGAAAGCUGCUGGGUGACGGCUGCGGCUGAGGAUGGAACUUCCUUGCCACCAUUAGCUCAGUCUCCUUCGGGACGCGAUGAAACAUGGCGACGCCAAGACCCAGCCUGGAAGACGGCUCUACACCGUGAGUUUGCCUCCGGAGGGCUAUGUUCCCGCUCCGCCAGAGCCGCACAGCUGCACAGAGUCCGAGAACUCCACCAGCAGUGACGGCACGGGAGUGUGGCUGGAUCUGAAAUACGAGUUAUUUAUUGAGAACCUAGUAUGUCAUACGUUGGAGAAAGAAGAGUGACUGUAUCGCGAUCCUUGCUCAUGUGGAGCCUGUAGGAAUUCUGCGUGUAACCUGGCUACAUCCUCUUCUUGUGAAAAUAGAAUAGGAAGAUGUUUCCUCUGGGAAGUGAUCUGUGGCGACCAUGGUCAAUGUAGGAAGACAGUCAGGUAAAGGGGACUUGGUAUGGUCGCUCUGCCUGCAGGAACGAUGAACCCCAUCUGUAAGAAGAGCACAGGAUGUGACUGGAGACUCAGGGAACAAAUCCGUGGCCUCAAGAGGGCUUCGGGUAAUGAGUGUGUCUUCAAACUAAGCAGCCAGUUCCGUCAGGUACCACGAGCAAGGCCGACGGUGCCUGUGGCGUCUGAGCGGACCAGGAGCAGGCUCACGCUCUGAGUGUUACCCCUCGGGCGGCCCCGCCUCCUUGGAGAGGAGCGGAGGGAGCCGGGGGCGCCUCUCCUGCGGGGUCUCCGCGGCCCGGCGGCGCGCACGGCCAGGUGCAGCCUUGGGGUUGUGAGGGUCGGAGGGCGCCUUCCCCGUGGGGCUGGGGGCUCGGAGAGCGGGUUCCCCGGUGCCCGCUGGCGCCCUCUCCCUCUGCGCCCCCGGGGAGGCCUCGCGCGUGGCCGACCGACCGUGGCCCCGGCUCCAGCGAGGCCUCGCGCUCCUCCGUAGCAUCUGCCCGGGCACCUCCCUUUUCCCUCUGUUUCUGGAGGAUGUAUUUACUCUAUUUAACCAUUUAUGGCUUUAUAUUUAUCAUUUAUAGGUUUAUGUUAAUUAAUAAUUUCAGUGCGUGUUUUCCUCUUUUACACUCUUAAUUACUCUCCUAACUUUCCCAUUCUUUAGAAAAUUCC
rnacentral:lncRNA from 1 species